rnacentral:rRNA from 1 species
UGGGGAAUCUUGGACAAUGGGGGCAACCCUGAUCCAGCCAUGCCGCGUGAGUGAUGAAGGCCUUAGGGUCGUAAAGCUCUUUCGCCUGUGAAGAUAAUGACGGUAGCAGGUAAAGAAACCCCGGCUAACUCCGUGCCAGCAGCCGCGGUAAUACGGAGGGGGUUAGCGUUGUUCGGAAUUACUGGGCGUAAAGCGCACGUAGGCGGACCAGAAAGUUGGGGGUGAAAUCCCGGGGGCUCAACCCCGGAACUGCCUCCAAAACUAUUGGUCUAGAGUUCGAGAGAGGUGAGUGGAAUUCCAAGUGUAGAGGUGAAAUUCGUAGAUAUUUGGAGGAACACCAGUGGCGAAGGCGGCUCACUGGCUCGAUACUGACGCUGAGGUGCGAAAGUGUGGGGAGCAAACAGGAUUAGAUACCCUGGUAGUCCACACCGUAAACGAUGAAUGCCAGUCGUCGGGUAGCAUGCUAUUCGGUGACAUACCUAACGGAUUAAGCAUUCCGCCUGGGGGAGUAC